AGUGAACGCUGGCGGUAGGCCUAACACAUGCAAGUCGAACGGCAGCACAGUAAGAGCUUGCUCUUACGGGUGGCGAGUAGCGGACGGGUGAGGAAUACAUCGGAAUCUACUUUUUCGUGGGGGAUAACGUAGGGAAACUUACGCUAAUACCGCAUACGACCUACGGGUGAAAGCAGGGGAUCUUCGGACCUUGCGCGAUUGAAUGAGCCGAUGUCGGAUUAGCUAGUUGGCGGGGUAAAGGCCCACCAAGGCGACGAUCCGUAGCUGGUCUGAGAGGAUGAUCAGCCACACUGGAACUGAGACACGGUCCAGACUCCUACGGGAGGCAGCAGUGGGGAAUAUUGGACAAUGGGCGCAAGCCUGAUCCAGCCAUACCGCGUGGGUGAAGAAGGCCUUCGGGUUGUAAAGCCCUUUUGUUGGGAAAGAAAAGCAGCAGGUUAAUACCCCGCUGUUCUGACGGUACCCAAAGAAUAAGCACCGGCUAACCUCGUG
rnacentral:rRNA from 1 species